GGCUAAUCUUCGAGGUAGGCUCUCGGAGCAUCGCUUCCUUUUAAGAUAGCAAGAGAUACUGUAGAGGUAGAAGUCUAGGAUUCAGUAGAUCAGGAAAAGGGAUCGAAAUACGAGAUUCUUUCAUUAGGCCACCAUCAUCAAGAGACAUUGGAACCAAGUCUAGGUGAUCAAAGGGGCUAAUGGUCAGUGGAAGACUAAGGAGGAGGAGGUUAGACAGGAGCUAGUUCAGUUUUUCAAAUCAAGAUGGACGAUGUCCUUAGGUGGGGAUGAUGCUUUUUGGUCCCCUCCCCC
rnacentral:lncRNA from 1 species